GGGGAGGGGGUAACCAAUGGAGUGAAGGAGGCUUGGCUAACCUUAGCCUCCCAUUUUCUCUCCCCCCCAAUUCAGGGCUCUGACCAGUCAGUCGCCUUUGAUUAUCAGUUGCCAGCAGCCCUUCUCUUGGCUCCUUGACACGAGCUCCAUAUAAGGCAGCGAUCUCCAUAGAAACGUGUCAGUUUCAAUAGUAGUGUCAAAGUUCACUAUAUACAGACAUUCGCGCAGAUCCCCCUUUCGGAAACAUUGCUCUGCUAGGCUUCCCGUUUAAACGCAUUCAUUUUUUGGGUCUCUCUCCCUCUCUCUCACUCCCUCUCUCUCUCUCUCUCUCCUCUCUCUCCCCUUUCUUGCAUAUUCUAUUAGUUGUGUGCUUUUUUUUUUUUUUCCCUCCCCUUCAUCUCCCUGUUCUCUUCCCUUUUCUUCUUUUUUCCACCCUUUCUCCUUGUGUCUUUCGCUUCAUUCCUGCAGGAGAAGAAGAGAGAGAGCAUCGUGAGCUCUCACAGGAGACGAAGAAGGAAGGAGAAAGAAGAGGAUUUAUUUACCCGACCUACUUUGGAUCUCUCUUUUUGCU